AACGCGAAGAACCUUACCUGGGUUUGACAUGGAUCGGGAGCGCUCAGAGAUGGGUGUGCCUCUUUUGGGGUCGGUUCACAGGUGGUGCAUGGCUGUCGUCAGCUCGUGUCGUGAGAUGUUGGGUUAAGUUCCGCAACGAGCGCAACCCUUGUUCACUGUUGCCAGCACGUUAUGGUGGGGACUCAGUGGAGACCGCCGGGGUCAACUCGGAGGAAGGUGGGGAUGACGUCAAGUCAUCAUGCCCCUUAUGUCCAGGGCUUCACGCAUGCUACAAUGGCUGGUACAGAGAGUGGCGAGCCUGUGAGGGUGAGCGAAUCUCGGAAAGCCGGUCUCAGUUCGGAUUGGGGUCUGCAACUCGACCUCAUGAAGUCGGAGUCGCUAGUAAUCGCAGAUCAGCAACACUGCGGUGAAUACGUUCCCGGGUCUUGUACACACGC
rnacentral:rRNA from 1 species